rnacentral:misc_RNA from 1 species
GUGAAUCAUCAAAUUUUUGAACGCAAAUUGCACUCUCUUCGGAGAGUAUGCCUGUUUGAGGGUCAGCCUAUAAAAUAUCGACAUCGUUGCUGUUUAGCGGUGCCGUUUGUCGGAAAUUGGGCCAUCUUAAAUCCUUUUGAUUGAAGGGACUUAAAAUGUUCUUUUGGUCCCAUGAACGUUUCUUACAUAUAUAUCUUUACACGUUUAAGGUAUCGACUUUUACUCGACGUCACCAUCAUAUC